rnacentral:tRNA from 1 species
GGGCGAUUAGCUCAGUUGGUAGAGCACCGGCCUUACAAGCCGUAGGUCACUAGUUCGAGCCUAGUAUCGCCCACCA